rnacentral:rRNA from 1 species
GGAUGAUCAGCCACACCGGGACUGAGACACGGCCCGGACUCCUACGGGAGGCAGCAGUGGGGAAUCUUGGACAAUGGGGGCAACCCUGAUCCAGCCAUGCCGCGUGUGUGAAGAAGGCCUUCGGGUUGUAAAGCACUUUCAGUAGGGAGGAAGGCUUAUCCUUAAUACGGAUGAGUACUUGACGUUACCUACAGA